GACGAACGCUGGCGGCGUGCCUAAUACAUGCAAGUUGAGCGCUGAAGGUUGGUACUUGUACCAACUGGAUGAGCAGCGAACGGGUGAGUAACGCGUGGGGAAUCUGCCUUUGAGCGGGGGACAACAUUUGGAAACGAAUGCUAAUACCGCAUAAAAACUUUAAACACAAGUUUUAAGUUUGAAAGAUGCAAUUGCAUCACUCAAAGAUGAUCCCGCGUUGUAUUAGCUAGUUGGUGAGGUAAAGGCUCACCAAGGCGAUGAUACAUAGCCGACCUGAGAGGGUGAUCGGCCACAUUGGGACUGAGACACGGCCCAAACUCCUACGGGAGGCAGCAGUAGGGAAUCUUCGGCAAUGGACGAAAGUCUGACCGAGCAACGCCGCGUGAGUGAAGAAGGGUUUCGGAUCGUAAAACUCUGUUGGUAGAGAAGAACGUUGGUGAGAGUGGAAAGCUCAUCAAGUGACGGUAACUACCCAGAAAGGGACGGCUAACUAUGUG
rnacentral:rRNA from 1 species